GUCCCCACAUUGUCACUGGUAGAAGCUAGCUGUCCUGACCACUUCAGAAAAGUUUUUCUACUGCACUCUUUUGAUCAGUAGAGGUGAACAUGGGAUCCUGUCCCAAGAGCAGCUGCCUGGCCCACCAACCACCUUCGGAUGCUGAUCAAUGUGCGGUCAGAAUACACCAACCCCCAUGACUUCUCCUGGAGUGGCAGGUGGGUGCCGUCAGCAAAGUUCCAGAAAUAAUAGCUGGAUUUAAGAGGAUGAGUUUACCAAACUGGGACAUUGAUGGCACCCACAUCCCAAUAUUUGCCCACCAAAAGCGGAAGGUAUGGUGUGGUCCUAGUGCUGGAAAUACCAAGGCAGAACUAACGACCCAUGAGUCUGUGACUGGAUGGAGGAACAAUUUCAAAGAAGCAUGAGUUACAGUUUUAUGGAGACACAAGAAACAAUGUCAGAGAGACAAGAAGAUCAGAGGGCCCGGAAUCAGUUGAAGACCAAGAAAAGUAGGAAAAACAUCCCUGAUAGGAAUGUUUCAGGAACACAACUGAUCCAAGAAUUUUAAAUAGCAAGGGAGAACAACAGAGACAGGAAGUAAUGACAGGAUCUUCAGAGGUCGCAUUAAGAAAUCUUCAUCCUGAAUUCUUGGGUACCAAGU